rnacentral:rRNA from 1 species
CACGUAGGGGGCAAGCGUUGUCCGGAUUUAUUGGGCGUAAAGAGCUCGUAGGUGGUUCGGUAAGUCGGGUGUUAAACCCCCAGGCUCAACCUGGGGACGCCACUCGAUACUGCUGUGACUUGAGUCCGGUAGGGGAGCGUGGAAUUCCUGGUGUAGCGGUGAAAUGCGCAGAUAUCAGGAGGAACACUAGCGGCGAAGGCGGCGCUCUGGGCCGGUACUGACACUGAGGAGCGAAAGCGUGGGGAGCGAACAGG